GUUCGCAGCGAUCAGCACUCUUAUUAGCUUUGAAUUCACCCGCGCCAUCAACAUUGGUCAUGUCAAGAGGUUUAAAGAAGCGCCAAUUUGCAACGAAAAUCACAAUGAGAGCAAUAGCACAACCAUAAAUAAACUACGAGAAGGGGAAAGUCUGGCAACGCAAGACGAAUGGCUGGCCUACAUCUUUGGGCUGCGGAAUUCCAUUAACGCGUACAACGAUAAUUAUGGCUCUCUCUGUGCCAUAAUUAAGAAUAAUGUGAUCUCGAGAGAUCAAAUCUUUUUCCUUGGUUUCGCGAACAUGUGGUGUUCGAACACAUCGCCCACCUCUGUGAAUAAUUUGUUUCCUGGCCGGCCAAUGGUGCUGGGAAGCCUGUCUAAAAUGGACGAGUUUUCGGAAGCGUGGAGUUGUCCAAAAGGCUCUAAAAUGAACCCCUGAUGAUUAACAUUACUUAGAUAAAAAUUACUUUUAAAUCUAAACCGAGAUUUCGCCUUUGCUGCUGCUAGAAAUGUAUUCAAGAUAAAUCAAUCAAAGGGUUUUCUCAAUAAAUUAUUCCUUUAUUUGCAUUUUCAUCUUUGGUUACCACUUCAUCUUCCUUCUUUUCCUUGGAGAACUCAAAGCAGUGUACUUGGUUAUAUAUUUUGGAAAAUAUAUCAAAAUCCUGUUUUUCCGCAAAUGCAGGCAUUGAUGUUUUUUCCUAAUUAUGAAUAUUUUUAAGGUUAUUUAAUCUAAAAAAAUUAUGUUUAUAAUACGAUUUUGAAAUUUAGAAAAUGUGUACAAAAGAUGUCCCAGUACAAAUGCGAACUUUGCAAAUAUUUUUUCUUAGUGAUUAUAUUUUUUCCAACUUAAAACUGCAAAAAUGGGAAUAUUUCAAAUUUUAUUAUUUUUGCAACCACAAAUUUCGGGUUCUAUACAACCAUCAGAAUUGCAAAAGCUACCCAUAGUUGGACUUGUGUCCAGUGUUGAAAUGCACAAAAAAUGAACCACUGGUUUUUUGCCCAGAAAAACCAGCUGGAAAAACCAAACAGUUUUGGGUUUUUCCUCAUUAAUUUUUCCGAAUUUAACUCCAUAAAUGUCACAUUUCACGCAAUAAGCACCCAAAAUUGAGGUAAAAUUCGAUUAUGUAGUGUUAGAAUUUUUGUUCUUUUGGUGAAUCUAUAAGGACAAAUUUUUACUGCUUUGUAAAAAUCAACAUUUUUUUCAAUAAAAAUGCAUGUGAUUUGGAAAAAUGCGCAAAAUAUUAUGUAAUUACAUAAAUAAUUAUAUGUAUAUUUUUAUGAAACAAUCGUGGAUAUGUAUGUAUGUAUGUGUUAGUAAGCAUGCAUGUAUCUUUAUGUAUAUAUAUGUAGAAUUUGCAGGAGUUAAUAAUGUUUAUUCUAUUUUAUUGAUAAAAUGCAUUAGCAUAUUUAUCUUAUGAUUAAUAUGAUCUACAAAUUUAUAACAAGGA